rnacentral:rRNA from 1 species
AACGCGAAGAACCUUACCAAGGCUUGACAUCCUCCCGACAGGUGUAGAGAUACAUCUUCCCUCCGGGGCGGGAGAGACAGGUGGUGCAUGGUUGUCGUCAGCUCGUGUCGUGAGAUGUUGGGUUAAGUCCCGCAACGAGCGCAACCCUUACCUUUAGUAGCCAGCACGUUAAGGUGGGCACACUAGAGGGACUGCCGUGGAUAACACGGAGGAAGGCGGGGAUGACGUCAAAUCAUCAUGCCCCUUAUGUCUUGGGCGACACACGUGCUACAAUGGCUCAUACAAAGUGAAGCGAGCCCGCGAGGGGGAGCAAAGCACAAAAGUGAGUCCCAGUUCGGAUUGUAGUCUGCAACCCGACUACAUGAAGUUGGAAUCGCUAGUAAUCGCAAAUCAGCAUGUUGCGGUGAAUACGUUCCCGGGUCUUGUACACACCG